AAAACUCCAUCUCCAAACAAAAAAAGAAAAAAAAAGAAAAAGAAAAAGAAUGAAAUAAUGUCUUUUUCGGCAACUUGGAUGGAGCUGGAGGCUGUUAUUCUAAGUGAAGUAACUCAGGAAUGGAAAACCAAAUACUGUAUGUUCUCACUCAGAAGUGAGAGCUAAGCUAUCAGUACACAAAGGCAUGUGGAGUGGUAUGAUGGACACUAGAGACUCAGAAAGGGGAGGGUGGGAGUGGGUGAAGGAUAAAAAACUGUAAAAUGGAUACAAUGUAUACUACUUGGGUGAUGGGUGCACUAAAAUCUCAGAAUUCACCACUAUAUAAUCCAUCCAUGUAACCAAAAACCACUUGUACGCCAAAAGCCAUUGAAAUAAAAAAAAUUAAAACAAUAAAAAAGGUGAAAAAAAAAGAAAAUAAAAACACACCUGUCCAAGCUAGGUGUGGUGGUGCAUGCCUAUAGUCCUAGAUACUCAGGAGGCUGAGGGCGGAGGAUUAUUUGAGCCCAGAAGUUCGAGGUCAACCUGGGUGACAUAGUGAGAUCCCAUCUCUAAAAAAUAAACCAAUCAACAAACAACCCCUUCCCCACUUGCCACAAAACACACCUUUCCCAAAGAAAGUAUAUAUACCAGAAGAAAUAAUGCCCUUCUUCUGGUAUGUAAGAAUUCCCGGCCGGGUGUGAGCCACCGCGCCCGGCCGAGAUGGAGCUUUCUCUCGGAAGUGUUUCCAGAUUCCCCAAAUGUCAGUUAGUUAAACAUUCUUCCUUCUUUGCUCCCAAAUCUCAGUCUGCUGACCCCUCUUAACACUCUUGUCACACUAUAUUGUAAUUCUUACUUCUCUGCCUCCUUCACUGGGAUAUAAGCUCCAUAAGGGUAGGAUUUUUUCUCUCUUCUUCUCUGCUGUGUAUCCCUUGCUCCUAGUACAGUGCCUGGCCCACAAUAUCUGUUCAGCAAAUGUCAAGUCAAUAAAUAGUUUGGUCUUAUGUUACAGCUUGUUUUAAUUCCAC
rnacentral:lncRNA from 1 species